rnacentral:lncRNA from 1 species
CAUUGUCGGAGGAAUUGAUUUGAAGGAUAAUAAAAUGAAUUAGGUUAUGGCAAUGGUUGCGGCAACAAUAGUAGCGGUGGCACUGCAUGGUCGCAAUAAGGAUGGGAUGUUGUGAUUGCAAGAAAUAGCAGUAAGAUAAAGGUGGCAAAUAUGACUAAUAGUGAUCAUAGAGAAAGGUGAUGGAAGAAGAUUUUGUCUAUG